rnacentral:rRNA from 1 species
AGUGAACGCUGGCGGUAGGCCUAACACAUGCAAGUCGAACGGCAGCACAGUAAGAGCUUGCUCUUACGGGUGGCGAGUGGCGGACGGGUGAGGAAUACAUCGGAAUCUACUUUUUCGUGGGGGAUAACGUAGGGAAACUUACGCUAAUACCGCAUACGACCUACGGGUGAAAGCAGGGGAUCUUCGGACCUUGCGCGAUUGAAUGAGCCGAUGUCGGAUUAGCUAGUUGGCGGGGUAAAGGCCCACCAAGGCGACGAUCCGUAGCUGGUCUGAGAGGAUGAUCAGCCACACUGGAACUGGGACACGGUCCAGACUCCUACGGGAGGCAGCAGUGGGAAAUAUUGGACAAUGGGCGCAAGCCUGAUCCAGCCAUACCGCGUGGGUGAAGAAGGCCUUCGGGUUGUAAAGCCCUUUUGUUGGGAAAGAAAAGCAGCAGGUUAAUACCCCGCUGUUCUGACGGUACCCAAAGAAUAAGCACCGGCUAACUUCGUG